AGGUUUCUCUCCAAGUCAUGAUCUGUUCUGCCCAGGAUGCUCCCCUGACACACACACUGAAAAACUGAGCACCUGGAGAGCAACACCAAAAUCCCACGGCCAAUAAUGGGCAACCCAAUCAGGACAACAUUCAGCAAAGCCAUUCUUGCUGGAGAAGGAACAGCACAAAACAGCUGGAAGGAAAUUGUGGCAUGCAUGAGAGAUAACUUGUCUGUGUUUGCAGUCUACUGAGAUCCCCGCUGCAAGAAGAGGCAGGAUUUUCACUUGCUUCUUGACCCAUCUCUGUUGUCCAGAAUCUAGGACUGGUGACAAGAGAAGCGGACGUGAUCUGCACAAGCUGGUGCAGCUGGGUCGGGAGUUGCUCUUCCGGGACAGGUGGGGAAGGGUGCUGGCGGGGAGGGAGGAGGAGAGAGGUUUUAGGGGAGGAGUGCUGAGCAGUCAGGAACCUGUAAGGUCACAUUUCUUUCAGGUAUUCUUUCUAGGUGUACUGAAUGGGAACAUUGUCUGUCAUCCCUAGACUGCCUUAAAGACCUAAACUGCUUCCAUUU